UGAGUAAUGUCUGGGAAACUGCCUGAUGGAGGGGGAUAACUACUGGAAACGGUAGCUAAUACCGCAUAACAUCGCAAGACCAAAGAGGGGGACCUUCGGGCCCCUUGCCAUCAGAUGUGCCCAGAUGGGAUUAGCUAGUAGGUGGGGUAAUGGCUCACCUAGGCGACGAUCCCUAGCUGGUCUGAGAGGAUGACCAGCCACACUGGAACUGAGACACGGUCCAGACUCCUACGGGAGGCAGCAGUGGGGAAUAUUGCACAAUGGGCGCAAGCCUGAUGCAGCCAUGCCGCGUGUGUGAAGAAGGCCUUCGGGUUGUAAAGCACUUUCAGCGAGGAGGAAGGUGGUGAGCUUAAUACGCUCAUCAAUUGACGUUACUCGCAGAAGAAGCACCGGCUAACUCCGUGCCAGCAGCCGCGGUAAUACGGAGGGUGCAAGCGUUAAUCGGAAUUACUGGGCGUAAAGCGCACGCAGGCGGUUUGUUAAGUCAGAUGUGAAAUCCCCGGG
rnacentral:rRNA from 1 species